UCAUGUGAUCAUUGUACAGUGGGUCAUCUGAUCAUUAUACAAUGACUCAUGUGAUCAUUUUCAGGCUUCUUGAUCGUGUGAUCCUUCUACAGUGUGAUCAUGUGAUUACAGUCUGGUCAUGUGUCUGUUGUACUGUGAGGUCAUGUGAUCAUUGUACGGAAUGAUCAUGUGACAAUGCAUGGCUUGGUCAUGUGACAAUGUAAAGCUUGGUCAUGUGAUCAGCUGUUGGCAGACCCCGGCAGAACAGGUGCUCUAUCUCAAUGCAGACACUCCAUGGCACAGAGAGUGUUGUUUGUGUGGUGGACGUCAUCAGUCCCGCCAACAAGCCAGAUGACCACUGACCAGAACAGUCGGCAUAUGUAGACCUUCUUCACGCUGAGUCCUUUGAUUCAUCCACACAUUCUUCAUUCAGGAGUGUAUGACGUCAUCCCAUGUCAUGCAAGGUCAAAGUGAUGAGAGUGCCUCAGGCUAGAGUGAGUGAAAUGCGUGAUGUCAUUUUGGAUAAUGAGAAUGUUUGAUGUAGGAGUGUUUAGUGUUGUGUGUGUGUGAGUGUGUCUGUCAUGAAUGUGGGAUGUAUCCAUUGUGCUACAUUGACCCCUGUCGUCACAUCUCCUCUUCGUCAUCAGUGUCAUUGUUACCAUUAUUGUUAUCAUCAUGAUCAUCAUCAACAUGUUUAUCAUUGUUGUCAUGUUUUAUGCCAUGCAUUUUUCAGCAUUGACAUUUUGAGUGUGAUAUUUUUUAUGCUUAAAAAAAUCAUGAAAAUUUUAUUGACGCAUAAAUUUUUAGGCAUAUUAUGUGUAAGCCUUUUACCUACCAAACUUUUAUGUGAUUACAUCAUUGCCUAGGCAGAGUAGAAUAAUGUGAACCAAUAGCAUGAAAAUCAGAUCUUUCACUCAGAUGCCCCUCUGUGUGAAUAAGCGACAAUACUUGAGCACACUUUGAUACCCUCCUAAAUCAAAAUAGAGUGGUUCGAUUCCCCACAUGGGUACAAUGUGUGAAGCCCAUUUCUGGUGUCCCCACCAUGAUAUUGCUGGAAUAUUGCUAAAAGCAGCGUAAAACCAAACUCAGUCAGUCUUGUCCAAUCUCAUGUUUGCUCUCUAUAAUCAUUUUUGUGUCUAUUCUAACCCAGAGAGCACACAAAAGCGUUUGAUGGAAUUCUGUUGUGGAUGCCAUAUUACUCCCAUCAAAAAACAGAGUGUAUGAAAUUUCCACAACAAAAUAAUGGUUCAGCUUUUAUUAUUUACAUUUGGAACUGUCAGUUCAAUUUUAACAUACCAAAUUCAGCCUUGCUAGCAGUCAUUCCAACUGUGUAGAAGCUUGAACACUGAUUGUCUUGAUGGACUCGGGUGGUUUUAGUCGUUUACUCCGAGGUGUCCUCUGAGUGUGAGAGAUCUGAAUUUAAUGAGAUUGACAGUGAACAUGACUGUUGAGCUCCACCAUAGUUUACGACUAGUACAUUUUAUACAUCACAGAACAGUGUCAGCCAUGAAGGAGUGUGCUUGUUGCAACUCUCCAUCUGACACGUCUGACAUUUUGUCAUUUUAGCAGAACAAAAUUGUAUCAUAAAUUCAUUUAUCUUGAAAUUCUUGGACAACUCAUAGGCAAACAUUUAGUCCAGACUGUUAGUUGAGAUAGAAAACGUUAAGUUGGUGCUGAGCAUCGGAACAAAUAUCUGAUCAAGAUGUUGUGAUCUUGCUAAACGAUAAUCUUUAUUUUUAUUUCCAUUGAAAACAAAGAUGGAAGAAAGAUUGAGUUGAUGAUGUUGUCAGCUGUUGGAUGCUGGGCUGCUGGAGUCCUCUGUGAUUGGUUGGAAGUAGAUGCAGUAUCAGACUAUCAUGUGAUAUAUUCCCUGUGUGGUGCUGCCAGGCGACACUCCGACACUCGCCCAGCCAAUGGGAUACAGGCACUCUCACCAUGUCCCAUGUACAUGUACAGAGUAGACAAGGAAUGUAUCUCAUAGUAGACAAGGAAUGUAUCUCAUAGUAGACAAGGAAUGUAUCGCAUAGUAGACGAGGAAGAUACAUCAGAGUAGACAAGGAAUCUACAUCAGAGUAGACUUGGGAGGUUGUUUAUGAUACGCAUCGUGAUACACAGGUCAUGGAGCGAUUUGUAUCAUGAUACACAUUGAGACUAAAUUGCAUGGAAGGCUCCAAAUGAAAGCUAAGAUUUUAGUCCUGUGUAACACCAGCAUUUACUUGCAUAAUCCAAUACAGAUUCAUUGAUACUAUUUCCAAUGACUGACAGUGACUAGAAAAUGAACGAAGAUUGGUAGGUCAGCUUAUGUAUGAGACAUACCAUUUUGAUACAAAUUUCAAGGGUCAAGUUAGGACCUCUGCUUAUCUAUGAGGUCAGCUGAUCUACGGUAAUAUAGAGUACUUGUAAUGCAUGCCCUUAGCGGCUAUGUUCAGUUGUGAACUUGAAAGUCUUAUUUCAAUUCAUGUUGCGAUAUUUGAUUUAAAAAUCAUCAGGGUUGGGGGUGUCACGAGUAGGAAGUAUAUUAGCUAGUGUAUCAUCUUGUAUCGAUACAGAGAAAAUAUAUCGUGUAUCACUGGUGUAUCAUUCACUGCAAGUUUACACUUUUCUCAAUGUCACUUUGGUAUCAAGUGGUUGUUACAAUAUAUCUCAACGUAAUCUUGGUUUGCACAUGGUUUGCAAAUCCUUUCUACAUAAUUUUAUGACAGGAAUCAUAGUUUAAACUAUAUUUUCAUGUAACCUUGGAGAUGUGAAAUGUUUAAAGCAUAUUUUAAUGUAACCUAUUCCACAGACUAUAGGUAGUCAUUCUGGUGAAAUUUUUGUAAAAAUUAAUAUCACAGAAUUAGAUUUGAAGAUAAAUUAACAAUUUUAAAAAAUGUUCCUCAGGGUAAAAUGGUGUAGCUGUGUAACAUGGCCAGCAUGAGUGUGUCUGUAUCCCACUGCUGGAGCUGAAGCGGAGUUCCCAGUCAGAUGAACACGUCUCCCCCUAAGCUGUGAUAUUGGAGUGGUAACAGUCACAAUGGGCUAGCAGCAUCUUUGCUAUAUUUGUAUCAGCUGAUGUAAAACAAAUAAUUCAAUGUAAAGCGAAGUUUGAUGACCAUUCUAAAUGCAUCAAGUUUUGCAAGCUUCGGUGCGACUUGGUGCCAGAUGGCUGUAUUAAGUCUGUAUAUGUUGGUUAUGAGUCCUGAUUGUUUCUGUAUGUGAGUGUGUGAUGAUCCAGCCAGCAGUCAGUCCCGCCCACCACAGGCUCAUACACAGUCUACUAGGGUCGCCAUUCUCAGAAACAUCACCAUCUUCAAACUGAUGCAUCACAGCUUGUACACGAUACUUUUUUAGUUCUGUGCCAGUUCCUGUGUUGGUUCUUUAUCCCUUUCAAAAAGUAAAAUUAACUAUAUUUUAUUAUUUUGUAAACACAGCCUGAUUACAACAUGGCCUUGCAUUUUGUACAAUACCACAAAACUAAAUCAUAAAAUCAUCAUAUGCCUUAAUUGACCGGUCCUACGAAUGUAACAGGAUUGGUUGACCGCUGCAAAUUCUUGUUAGCUCAGCUUAAUGGAACAGGAAGAAUUUCAAACGGAAUUGGCACAGUUUUCUACCGUGAAAAAUUAGGACUCAGUAGUAGUGAUGUGUGUCUGUACAAGAGGUUAGCAUAACCUGACAGCACCAUUACACUCAUCAGAGGAAGGGACAGUUGUCCACAGUGUUCACUAGUAGUAACACUGCAUACUUUCUCUAUUGUACAAUACUUAAAUAAUCAUUCAUGUGAAAAAAGUAGACACACUUGAGAGUGACAGAUGCAUAACAACGUUUCUCUUUGACAUUUACUGAGCAUGCUGUAUGUUUCUUCAGGAACAAUAUAUUUUUUAAGUUGGUAUCAGUCUUUUGACUUUCGGUUCCAAGAGAUGGUGUUUCGUGGUAGACCGUUACCAUGGUUACGGUAGUAGUGCCUGUGGUGGCGGCGGGAAGAAUGUUGGCCAGGGCAUAUCGUGAGGGUAUGCAUGUACGAAGGUAUGUCCUUACUUUGAGCUUUCCUUACACAUCCGUUACUACAGGGAUAUCAAAACAUGUCGGAUGAUUCCACGUAGCAACAGAUCAUUCACAUAGUCUGCAGUUUAGCUCAAAAUGUGAUACUUUGUUUUCAUUAUAGGUGAAACGCUUUUGUUACAGGUGAAAAAAAGGAAAUUGUUUUAAAAAAGAAGUAAAUGAUUAUUUUAACAUCAGUGAUUUUCUGAUUUUUUUGGGUCAUAGAACAGGGAUGUAUUAAGAUUUUUCAACCUGAGUCCCAGGUGAUCCUUCUAAGUAAUGUAGAGUACCUAGGCCUAUGUCUGUCUGUGUGAAGACGAGUUGUUUGCUAUGUGCUAUCUGGACAGGGUACAACUGUUUUGAUGUCCUGGUAUGGCGGAGUCUACUGUACAACCAUUCCUUCAUCACUAAGCUAUGCAACUCUGUGCAGUAUUGGGUAGCCUUUGACACUUUCCUCUCGUAAAUAGUAUGUACAAGAUGAUUUUUCUUGUCCUCCUUGACAUUAGACUCAUGUUGUGCCUCAGGUUCCUGGCGUUGGCUUGACUGAUCUACACAGCUGCCAUGUAUUAGAUUAUGCGGAGAUACACAUUUACAGACUUGUUUCAGCCUGACCAAGUUUAUUUUCCUCUUUAACCUUUAUGUUAAAGACACUGAUUUGUUUACUUUAAAACCCAAUCACACACCACAUGCUCAUAUACACACUGCAGGCUCCGUCACAGACCAAUGGCUCCAUCACACAGGCUCAUACACACACUGCAGGCUCCAUCAAGGGCUCCUUCACACACUGCAGGCUCCAUCACAGAUCAAGGGCUCCAUCACACAGGCUCAUACACACACUGCAGGCUCUGUCACAGAUCAAGGGCUCCAUCACACAGGCUCAUACACACACUGCAGGCUCCGUCACAGAUCAAGGGCUCCUUCACACAGGCUCAUACACACACUGCAGGCUCCAUCACAGAUCAAGGGCUCCUUCACACAGGCUCCUACACACACUGCAGGCUCCAUCACAGAUCAA